rnacentral:rRNA from 1 species
UACGUAGGGUGCGAGCGUUAAUCGGAAUUACUGGGCGUAAAGGGCGCGUAGGCGGCACGGCAAGUCGGGAGUGAAAGCCCGGGGCUCAACCCCGGAGGGUCAGCCGAUACUGGCAUGCUAGAGUACGGAAGAGGUAGCUGGAAUUCCCGGUGUAGCGGUGAAAUGCGUAGAUAUCAGGAAGAACACCCGUGGCUAAGGCGGUUCUCUAGUACGGUACUGACGCUGAGACGCGAAAGCGUGGGGAGCGAACAGG